ensembl:snRNA U6 U6 spliceosomal RNA
AUGCACACUUUGACAGCUCAUACACUAAAAAUGGAACCAUAUAGAGAAGACUAUCAUGGCUUCUGCACAACGAUGACAGGCAAAUUUGUGAAGCAUUCCAUGUUUUA